rnacentral:rRNA from 1 species
CUUGCUUCUCUUGAGAGCGGCGGACGGGUGAGUAAUGCCUAGGAAUCUGCCUGGUAGUGGGGGAUAACGUCCGGAAACGGACGCUAAUACCGCAUACGUCCUACGGGAGAAAGCAGGGGACCUUCGGGCCUUGCGCUAUCAGAUGAGCCUAGGUCGGAUUAGCUAGUUGGUGGGGUAAUGGCUCACCAAGGCGACGAUCCGUAACUGGUCUGAGAGGAUGAUCAGUCACACUGGAACUGAGACACGGUCCAGACUCCUACGGGAGGCAGCAGUGGGGAAUAUUGGACAAUGGGCGAAAGCCUGAUCCAGCCAUGCCGCGUGUGUGAAGAAGGUCUUCGGAUUGUAAAGCACUUUAAGUUGGGAGGAAGGGCAGUAAAUUAAUACUUUGCUGUUUUGACGUUACCGACAGAAUAAGCACCGGCUAACUCUGUGCCAGCAGCCGCGGUAAUACAGAGGGUGCAAGCGUUAAUCGGAAUUACUGGGCGUAAAGCGCGCGUAGGUGGUUCGUUAAGUUGGAUGUGAAAUCCCCGGGCUCAACCUGGGAACUGCAUUCAAAACUGACGAGCUAGAGUAUGGUAGAGGGUGGUGGAAUU